rnacentral:rRNA from 1 species
UGGUGGAGUGAUUUGUCUGGUUAAUUCCGAUAACGAACGAGACCUUAACCUGCUAACUAGUCGCACUAACCUUGGUUGGUGUCGACUUCUUAGAGGGACUGACUGUGUUUAACAGUUGGAAGUUUGAGGCAAUAACA